CACACCAACCGUGCCACAGAGAGCCUGGUUCUGCAGUGAAAUUAAGCCUCUGCAUCCCUCCACCAUCUAGACCUGAGAACCUGCCCUCUCAACCUACUCAGAUGGAGAAGUCCUAUAGAGAAGAGAGGAGGACCUUGCAAAAACCCCUUGCAUUCCGCCAGGGACCAACAGCUCUAGGAAGUCUACAGGAGCCUUAAGAACAAUUCAGCUCCUCUGGGAGAAGAGCUAAAUUGGCUGGAAGGCAGACACCUCAGUAUUUGAGAAUCUAUCAGCUAUCUGGCUUUUGCAAUGAGCAAGUCAUCCAGUCAAGAAAAACAUCUCCAGGUGUUAAAUCUAUGAGCAUACCAGAGCAUAAUGGAACCAAGCCUGAGGUUGUGCCGAAACAGGAGAUAAUCAGUGUCAUCAUGUAUUAUGGUGUGACACACUUGUUAAUUACCGAGAAUUCAGAAAUAAAGGAAAAGGGCGCUACCAGAGCACUAACAGGAAGUAUCCAUAUUUACAGGACAGGCACUGGUCACCAUGGCUUCCAAAGCAGGAC